rnacentral:tRNA from 1 species
GCUUUCGUGGUGUAGUGGUCAGUACGCACGGGUAACCGAGAGGUCCAUGGUUCGAUUCCCGGCGAAGGCG